rnacentral:rRNA from 1 species
UACAGAGGGGGCCAGCGUUGUUCGGAAUCACUGGGCGUAAAGGGCGUGUAGGCGGUCAGGUAAGUGGGAUGUGAAAUCCCUCGGCUCACCCGAGGACCGGCAUCUCAUACUGCUUGGCUUGAGUACGGGAGAGGAUGUGGGAAUUCCUGGUGUAGCGGUGAAAUGCGUAGAUAUCAGGAGGAACACCGGUGGCGAAGGCGCACAUCUGGCCCGAUACUGACGCUGAGGCGCGAAAGCUAGGGGAGCAAACGGG